rnacentral:pre_miRNA from 1 species
ACAACAUUCGGACUAUCGGUCUACCGAGCAAUGAUACCCGCACGGUGGAAGAUCUUGCCUUUAUCGU